UCUGCCGCGAGGUAGAAUCUGAAGGAAGCUGGAGGCAAAUGCACGAGCCAAGGUACACAAACUCAAUUCGAGGCAGGAUUAGUCGGAUGAGUCACCAACGGCUUCUCGUGCUCCUUGAUCGUGGCCGCCGCGGCAAUCUCCUUCGUCGUGGAUACCGGCUGGCCUCCGACCGAAAGCAGCCGCU
rfam:Paenibacillus sp. MSt1 Contig_19, whole genome shotgun sequence.